AGAGUUUGAUCAUGGCUCAGAGCGAACGCUGGCGGCGUGGAUAAGGCAUGCAAGUCGAGCGAUCUGCCGCAAGGCAGAUAGCGGCAAACGGGUGCGUAACGCGUAGGUAACCUACCCUGAAGUGUGGGAUAACCCAACGAAAGAUGGGCUAAUACCGCAUGUGUCCCGAGGCCCGCAUGGGUCUUGGGAGAAAGAUGGCCUCGACCGCAAGGUUGCUAUCACUUUAGGAGGGACCUGCGUCCCAUCAGCUAGUUGGUAGGGUGACGGCCUACCAAGGCGUUUGACGGGUAGCUAGCCUGAGAGGACGGUUAGCCACACUGGGACUGAGACACUGCCCAGACUCCUACGGGAGGCUGCAGUCGAGAAUCUUUGGCAAUGGGCGAAAGCCUGACCAUGCGACGCCGCGUGCGGGAUGAAGGCCUUCGGGUCGUAAACCGCUGUUACGAGGGACGAAGGCUCUUGUCGUGAACAACGGCAGGGGAUUGACGGUACCUCGAGAGAAAGCCACGGCUAACUCCGUGGCCAGCAGCCGCGGUAAUACGGAGGUGGCGAGCGUUGCUCGGAUUUACUGGGUGUAAAGGGCACGUAGGCGGUCCGAUAAGCCCUGCCUGAAAGACUCUGGCUCAACCAGAGUAGGCGGUAGGGGACUGCCGGACUUGAGGAUGGGAGAGGCGAGCGGAAUUCCCGGUGUAAGCGUGAAAUCUGUAGAGAUCGGGAGGAACACCAGUGGCGAAGGCGGCUUGCUGGACCAUUUCUGACGCUGAGGUGCGAAAGCUAGGGGAGCAAACAGGAUUAGAUACCCUGGUAGUCCUAGCCGUAAACGAUGGACACUAGGUGUUGGCCCCGUUCAGGGGUCAGUGCCGCAGGUAACCCGCUAAGUGUCCCACCUGAGGAGUACGGCCGCAAGGUUGAAACUCAAAGGAAUUUGACGGGGGCCAGCACAAGCGGUGGAACAUGUGGUUCAAUUCGAUGCUACGCGAAGAACCUUACCCAGGCUUGACAUGCAUGUAGUAGGAACCUGAAAGGGGGACGACUCGUAUCCAGUCGAGAGCUUGCACAGGUGCUGCAUGGCUGUCGUCAGCUCGUGCCGUGAGGUGUUGGCUUAAGUGCCACAACGAGCGCAACCAUUGCCGCUAGUUGCUACCAGGGGCCGCAAGGCCUGCUGAGCACUCUAUCGGGACUGCCAGCGAUGAGCUGGAGGAAGGUGGUGAUGACGUCAAGUCCGUACGGCCUUUAUGCCUGGGGCGACACACGUGUUACAAUGGAGUCGACAACGCGCUGCAAACCCGCGAGGGCAAGCUAAUCGCUUAAACGGCUCCCCAGUUCGGAUCGCAGGCUGCAAUUCGCCUGCGUGAAGCCGGAAUCGCUAGUAACGGCGGAUCAGCUACGCCGCCGUGAAUACGUUCCCUGGCCUUGUACACACCGCCCGUCAAGCGAUGGGAGCUGGGAGCACCCGAAGUCGGUGAUCCAACCCGCAAGGGAGGUAGCCGCCGAAGGUGAGAUCCAGUGACUGGCGCUAAGUCGUAACAAGGUA
rnacentral:rRNA from 1 species